rnacentral:lncRNA from 1 species
CGCACAGCCACCGCCAGAGCCCCUUGGCCCCUUUUUCUGCCCCCCACCCCCCAAUAUCUCCUCUUGGCAUUAGCACUGCCCCAGCACCCGGUUGCAUCUCUAAUUUCUCAUGCAAGAGGCGGUUUUGCGAAAAUGGAGUUUGCUGCCUGCAUGGUCACUGAUUGCCCAAGGAAACCUCCUGCCUGUGUAAAGGUUACUCCAGUGCUAGAAACCCAGCGGAGUCUCCCGCAGUUAAUAUUGCACUUGCUGCGCAUCCACCUCCCCAGACGUGUCUGGGCGAUGGCCUGUGCAAAGGCCAUUUUGAAGAAGUAACACCAGCUUUUCAGAUAGCAGGAGUGUAUUUCCGAUUAAGCCAGGAGCCCCAAGUCCCACCUGUGGCAAGUGCUUGGGGGCCCCUUGGUCCGUGAGUCCCCAAACACGCGCCGGCACGGUGAAACUUCCAGUGCGUGACAAAUAAAGGCGGUUUGCGGCCCCAGCAGGCGUCUCUCUGCAAGCUCCCCUCUUACCUCGGCAUCGCAUCAGUGGGCGUCAGAAAAGCCCCCCGCUGAGGUCACACUUCGGGGCCAGGGUGGGGGGGGGGGGAAUGACACACAGCACGGUUAUGGCCACGCACUCCCCCCAGCCGCCGGGGCCAUGGGGGAGAGGGGAGGUGAGGGGCCAGGGGCGCGCCGGCGGGGAUAGAGACCCUUCCCUGCACUGGUGGCGCUGGUUUCUCCGAGGGGAACCGCAGUCCUGGGGACAGGGAUGGGCUGCCUGGCUGCCCCGGGGAAGGGCUGGGGGCCAGCUGUUCCCUGAGGGAGGAAUAAAGCCAACAGCAAAAGGAGGAUUUACUGGUCACUCUUGUGCUGUUCUGCUCCCAGGGACCUGGAAACUCGGCUUUUGCUGUGCCAGUUGCCCUGCGACUGAGUCAUCCAUAAGUAUCAAUAUAAACAAAGCUGAGCCAGAAGUGCCUAAAGAGGAGCCAGAUGAAAUAAGACAGGUGCAAGCAGCGUGCGUGGAAACCCUGGUGGCGGGCAGUUCCUCACUGCUAUGCGUGGACGCCCAGGUGCAAACUUCCAGUCCCAAACUGCAGAAGACGCCUCCUGCGCUCUCACUAGUGGUGGCUCAGGUGCAAACCUCAGCACUCGCAGUCACAGAAGAGGAAGGUGAUCUUCCUUCGUAUGCGGAGGCUGAGGUACAGACAUCCGAGCUGACGACAUUGGAAGCAGAGGAUAUUCUUCCUUCUCCUUCACACAGCAAGGCUCAUUUGGGCUCCUCCUGCCCGGAAACACCAGAGGCGCAGGACACAGCAGCCCCCGCAGAAAUCAUGCCCACGCCUCCAGAGCUAACAGACGCCGAGACACAAACUUCUCAUGCUGAAAUACCUCUGGGGAAGAAACGGCGCUCCUCGCAAUUACAGGUUGAGGCUCAAGUACAAACCUCCAGACUGGAUUUUCCGGGAGCAGAGGAGGUGCCUCCGUGUGCCUCUCAGACAGAUGUGCAGAAACAAUCCUCCAUGCCCGAAUUACCACAGAGUAAGGUGCCUCUC